rnacentral:rRNA from 1 species
GCACCGGGGGCGGCAGUCUAUACAUGCAAGUCGAGCGAAUUGAUUAAGAGCUUGCUCUUAUGAAGUUAGCGGCGGACGGGUGAGUAACACGUGGGUAACCUGCCCAUAAGACUGGGAUAACUCCGGGAAACCGGGGCUAAUACCGGAUAACAUUUUGAACUGCAUGGUUCGAAAUUGAAAGGCGGCUUCGGCUGUCACUUAUGGAUGGACCCGCGUCGCAUUAGCUAGUUGGUGAGGUAACGGCUCACCAAGGCAACGAUGCGUAGCCGACCUGAGAGGGUGAUCGGCCACACUGGGACUGAGACACGGCCCAGACUCCUACGGGAGGCAGCAGUAGGGAAUCUUCCGCAAUGGACGAAAGUCUGACGGAGCAACGCCGCGUGAGUGAUGAAGGCUUUCGGGUCGUAAAACUCUGUUGUUAGGGAAGAACAAGUGCUAGUUGAAUAAGCUGGCACCUUGACGGUACCUAACCAGAAAGCCACGGCUAACUACGUGCCAGCAGCCGCGGUAAUACGUAGGUGGCAAGCGUUAUCCGGAAUUAUUGGGCGUAAGCGCGCGCAGGUGGUUUCUUAAUUCUGAUGUGAAACCCCACGGCUCCCCGGGAAGGGUCAUUGAAAACUGGAAGACUUGAGUGCAAAAAAGGAAAGUGGAAUUCCAUGUGUAGCGGUGAAAUGCGUAAAGAUAUGGAGGAACACCAGUGGCGAAGGCGACUUUCUGGUCUGUAACUGACACUGAGGCGCGAAAGCGUGGGGAGCAAACAGGAUUAAAUACCCUGGUAUUCCACGCCGUAAACGAUGAUUGCUAAUUGUUAAAGGGUUUCCGCCCUUUAGUGCUGAAGUUAACGCAUUAAGCACUCCGCCGGGGGAGUACGGCCGCAAGGCUGAAACUCAAAGGAAUUGACGGGGGCCCGCACAAGCGGUGAAGCAUGUGGUUUAAUUCAAACCAACGCGAAAAACCUUACCAGGUCUUGACAUCCUCUGACAACCCUAAAAAUAGGGCUUCUCCUUCGGAAGCAAAGUGACAGGUGGUGCAGGGUUGUCGUCAGCUCGUGUCGUGAAAUGUUGGGUUAAUUCCCGCAACGAGCCCAACCCUUGAUCUUAUUUCCCAUCAUUUAUUUGGGCACUCUAAGGUGACUGCCGUUGACAAACCGAAGAAAGGUGGGAAUGACUUCAAAUCUUCAGGCCCCUUAGAACCUGGGCUACACCGUGCUCAAAUGAACGUAACAAAACCUCCAACCCCCAGGGUGGACCAAAUCUCAAAAACCCUUUCCCAGUUCGAAUUGAGGCUGAACCUCCCCUACAUGAACCCUGAAAUCCCUAUAAUCCGCGAAACACAUGCCCCGUUAAAUCCUUCCCGGGCCUUGUAACACGCGCCGGUCCAAACCCAGAAGAUUUGAACACCCGAAACUCGUAGAGUAACCUAUAUAGAACCCGCCGCCCUAAGGUGGACAAAAUAGAUAUGGCGGCUGAUAGAGACUCAUCAAU